rnacentral:lncRNA from 1 species
CAGUGCAGUGUUAAUGUACUGGAGUGUCCAGUCAGUGUGUCUGUAUGAACCCCUCUCUCUCAGUGCAGUGUUAAUGUACUGGAGUGUCCAGUCAGUGUCUGUAUGAACCCCUCUCUCUCUCUCAGUGCAGUGUUAAUGUACUGGAGUGUCCAGUCAGUGUCUGUAUUAACCCUUUCCUCUCCCUGUCUGGCAGGUCGUCCUGGAAGAGUGAGCGUCCCAAGCUGAGCUGUAAGGACUCCCUGGGGGGCUGUGAAGAGGACACCUCCCCAGGCACGGAGGAAGUGUGUGAGGCCGGGCCGCGGGCAGAGGGCGAGGAGGGCGAGGCCGAGGCUGACCCUGCCCCCACUGAGCCCCCCCCACCUCCCAUCUCAGAGCUGCAGGGGCAGCGGGGGGGUGAGGAGGAAGAGGAGCUCCCCCCCCCAGAGCUGAUGGAGAUGGAGCGACGGGAGGCACAGAGGGAGAGACUGAACAAGAUCCUGCUGACACUCCUGCACAGAGUACCCUGCAAGAGUGUGAUCGACGUGACCUAUCUCCUGGAGGAGGGCUCGGGUCGGAAGUUGCGCCGGAGGACGCUGGGAUUGGGCGACUGCGGUGGCAGGAAGUGAUGUCACCUGCGAACCUGGCGAGCCUCCAGCUCCCCCCGGAGAGGGAGAGCAGGGCGCCGAGAGAGGAGAGCGAGCGAGGGGAGAAGCUGCCCCUCCCUGGGGCCGCCCCGGGGAGCUCGGCCAGGAGACACGGAGCGAUGGGAUCGGAAAGCACGCCGGACGAGGGGUCAGAGAGUGGGCGGGGCCUCUAGCGCGGUGGACACUUGCAUCCCCAGACACAGGGGGAGUGGACACAUCCCAGACAAGGGGCCGCAGACAGCGAGCGAACGGCAGGACGGCAGUUCGGUCUCGAUUAUUGCCCCCUCGACCCCUCCCUGAGGCCAGCAGGAACUGCACUGACCUCGCAAACAGCUGGACCGGGCAGGACAUCACUGCACCGAGACAGUGAAGGCUCCCAGUGCGCAGCAGUCUGAACCACUCCAGGCUUCACUACCAGCUGAAGGGCUCUUGAUCAGAAGCAAGGCCGGCCUCUUUCUUACCUUAUUUUGAAUCAAUUUGCAUAGACAGAUGUUUAAAAUGAAACUAAAAUUAGUAUGUAGUCGUAUUUAUUGCUCCAUCUGCUUCAUCCGUACAGGUUUCCUAGGAGUCCUGCAGCUGUAGUGGCCUGUUAGCUGGGAAGACUGCUGUAUGUGGUGUAGAGAGACGGGCACACUGCUCAUUCUCGUUUUCUUGUUCAUCCUUGUAUUGUACAUUACCAGUGUCCUUUAUUCCUGUCCUCUGAACUGGUUGAGCUUCAGCCUCUGUAUAAUAUCCCAGUCUGUCAGUUACUUGUGUGUUUGAGACUCUAUGGCUAAAGGGAGUGAGAGAACAACAGUUGGACUGUUCUGUCAGAGAGAGACAGUCAGACUGUGCGAUCAGAGAGAGAGGGACAGUCAGACUGUGCG